UACAGAGACUGCAAGCGUUAUUCGGAUUCACUGGGCGUAAAGGGUGCGCAGGCGGCCAAGUGUGUGAGGCGUGAAAGCCCGGGGCUUAACCCCGGAAUUGCACCUCAAACUACAUGGCUAGAGCAUUGGAGAGGGUAGCAGAAUUCACGGUGUAGCAGUGAAAUGCGUAGAUAUCGUGAGGAAUGCCAGAGGCGAAGGCGGCUACCUGGACAAUUGCUGACGCUCAGGCACGAAAGCGUGGGGGGCAAAAGGG
rnacentral:rRNA from 1 species